rnacentral:rRNA from 1 species
UACGGAAGGGGCAAGCGUUGUUCGGAAUCAUUGGGCGUAAAGGGCGCGUAGGUGGUUCUGUAUGUCUACCGUGAAAGCGUACGGCUCAACCGUAUUUUGUCGGUGGAAACUGCAGGACUUGAGGCUGGGAGGGGCUGGUGGAAUUCCCUGUGUAGCGGUGAAAUGCGUAGAGAUGGGGGAGAACACUCGUGGCGAAGGCGGCCCCCUGGUUGGAUACUGACGCUGAUACGCGAAAGCGUGGGGAGCAAACAGG